rnacentral:rRNA from 1 species
UACGGAGGGUGCAAGCGUUAAUCGGAAUUACUGGGCGUAAAGCGCACGCAGGCGGUCAAUUAAGUCAGAUGUGAAAGCCCCGAGCUUAACUUGGGAAUUGCAUUUGAAACUGGUUAGCUAGAGUCUUGUAGAGGGGGGUAGAAUUCCAGGUGUAGCGGUGAAGUGCGUAGAGAUUUGGAGGAAUACCGGUUGCGAAGGCGGCGCCCUGGACGAAGACUGACGCUCAGGUGCGAAAGCGUGGGGAGCAAACAGG